AGGCGCAGCACAGGUACGUGGGCGGGCGGAUCGUGGUGGCUGCGCUUGCGAGGACCCUGAGGUAGAUUGGGUGGUUUCAACAGGAACGCAUCCACUGUCUGAGAGUUUAAACUUGAUUUUGUGAGGGGACGAACAGCGUGACAAUUAAAAGAAGAUCUGGGAAUCAAAAGCUUCCUGAGGCCUUCACCAGAAGCAGAUGCUGGUGCCGUGCUUCUACAGCCUGCAGAACUGAAGGACUUUACAGCUUCUCUUUCGCAUAUCCAAAUUGCCAGCAUCACCGCUCUUGCACUCCAAGCCAUUAUUAAGUAAAGUAAAGAACACAAACACUGUGAUACUGCUACACUUGAUCUGAUAACCAAGAAGUCUACUAAGUGACUAACAGCAGAGCAACUGGGAACCUAAUUCUGACCAAAAAGGAGGAAUUGUUUGGCUAAUUGGAAGUGACAGAAACCUUGGGAGAAAGCAACCGCAUACCAAGGAUAAUUAUAAGAAGAAGAGAAGACAUGGAGAAGAGGAGGGAGUAGUUGUGACCGUGGAGGCAGAGAAUGGAGUAAUGUGAUCAUAAAUCAAGGAAUGCUGACAGCCACUAAAGCUGGAGAAGGCCAAGGACAGAUAUUCAAUCCUCCCGUAGAAGUACAGCCCUGCUAAUGCAUUGAUUUUGGACUUCUGGCCUCAGAACUGUAAGAGAAUAAAUUUCUAUUGUUUUAAGCC
rnacentral:lncRNA from 1 species